rnacentral:rRNA from 1 species
AAACAUCUUCUCUUGUUAUUUUUAAGAGAUUUGUCCUGCCCAAUGAUUUAUUUAAUGGCCGCAGUAUCUUGACUGUGCAAAGGUAGCAUAAUCAUUAGUCUAUUAAUUGUUGACUUGAAUGAAUGGUUUGACGAAAUAUUAACUGUCUCAUGAUUAUUAAUAUAAUUUAAAUUUUGAGUUAAAAUGCUUAAAUUUUAUUAUGGGACGAGAAGACCCUAUAGAUCUUUAAUUUUUAGGUUUUAUUUUAUUUAGGAUAUUUAAUUUGUAAUUCUUAGGGAAUUUUUGUUGGGGUGACAUUAGGAUAAAAUUAACUCCUUUUUUUUGUUUACAUUAAUAUGUGAUUAUUUGAACUUUAUUUUUGUUAUAAGAUUUAGAUACCUUAGGGAUAACAGCGUUAUUUUUAUUGAGAGUUCAUAUCAACAUAAAAGAUUGCGACCUCGAUGUUGGAUUAAGGGUAAUUUUUAGGUGUAGGUGCUUAAUAAAUAGGUCUGUUCGACCUUUAAAUCCUUACAUGAUCUGA